UGCGCAUGCGUGCGCGCUGACGUUUCGGUGCGCGGCUGCCCCUGGUGUUCUCCGGUGUCCCGCGGCUUCCGCUUUCACGUGAGGGUUUAUGGUUCUUCACCCUUCUGUGUGUUCUCCCCGUGCUUGCCGGUGUGCUACUGCUCGAUGCUGCGUGCUGAGACGCAGCGGCCCCAGCGGGUUUCCCCACCGCACCCCUGGAGGUCGUGUGGCCAGAGCGGCGCGCGGCAUCCGGGGCACAGAGCAGGCCACGCGCCCGGGCCGAACCGACAGGAUCCCGCGUAUCCCGCGCGGUCGGGUUUCAGACAACAGGCUCGGCAGCUCUCAGCAAGCACGCUCCGCGAACCUGACAGCCCCCGCAUAAUGUACCCCUGCUAGUUUUAAGUUUUUAUUUUUAUUUACAUUUUUACUGUGGUAAAAUCAGUGAAAAAGAACCUUUGCUUGGCCUCACUUGACUCCUGGCCCGUGCGAUCUUGCGCGCCUGCGGAUUAAAAAAGUUCGGUACUUAAACACAUUAGCUGUGUUACAUGUCCUGUGCCUGGCCCCUACUACAAGGCCAAGUUGUAGUGGACCGAUGGCCAUGGUCCUGCAUUGUCUUUACUGUGCUUUAACAAAUACAAGUAUUUUUUUCUUUAACAUGUAUUUGUAGAUACACGUACAUAUUAUAUAUGUAUAUGUAUACAUAUAUAUAUAUAUAAAACAUAGAUGCUAUCACUAACGAUUUUGAAUGUGUUAAAUUUGGUGGCACUGAAUACAUUCAUUUGUGUAACCAUAACCAGUGUCCAUCUCCAGAUACAUCUUUAAAAAAAAAAAAAAAGCUUUGUUGAGAUAUCUAGUAGUUCUGUUAGUUUCCUGUCACUAAGACACUAUACCUAAUAUCCACGGCUUAGAGGACAGGUUUGUUUUAGCUCAGUUGUUUUGUUUUGUUUUUCUUUAGAUCAGGAAGGGUGAAAAGAUCUGAGGGUCUGACAGAGAAAAGCUGUGCUCCUCUUGAGGGUCUGUGAGCUGAGAGAGGGGAGGAACCAGGGAAGGAGGUACAUCCCUCUAGACUAAGCUCACAGUGGCGUGCCACUGGCCACCAGAUAGAUCUCCACCUCCUAACUGCAUUUUCAGUUCUGAGCUUUUCAGUUGAUUAAUCCACUCAGGAGUUAUGUACCUCCCUUGAUCCAAUUACCUUCCAAAAGUGAGUCCUAAGAACACGUGUGUCUUUUGGGGGAUAUUCUGUAUGUAAACCAUAAGAAGAUAUAGUCCACAUACUAUAAAAUACACUCACUCAAUAUGAAGUGGUUUUUCAGAGAGCUAUGGAAACAAUACCACAAAUUAAUUUUAGAAAAAUUUUCAUCACUCCAUAAGAAAGCUUGAACUCAGCAGUAAUCAUUUCCCUCCCAACCUCACAGCCUAUAGCAAUCAAUUAUAUUCUAUCUCUAUAAAUUGGUUUAUUUUUGACACUUCAUAUAAUUAGAAUAUUUUGUAACAAUUUUGGAAUUUUGCCGGGCGGUAGCUCACAGCACUCCUGAGGCUGAGUCAGGAGAAUCAUUUCGAGUUUGAGACCAGCUUAGGCUGCAAAGCGAGCUCAAGGCCAGCCUGAACUGCACAGAGAGACCUUGUCUCAAAAUGACAAAAAAUUUUUUUUCUUGGAACUUAGUGAUAGAGUUAUUUCCAAAAGAUGAAAAAUAUUAACAAAGGAUGAGAAAUAUAAAAUAAAAAGCGGCCUUUAUUCUGAGAACACGGAGAGAGAUGACCGGCACCCCACCGCUGGCGUCCAGCGAUCUCUCCUGCGGACAUGUGGCAUGGGGGCCUGUAAAUAGCCUCGGUUUGGGGUGGAACCUAAGGCGGGCAUUAGGGAUAAACAGGUAGGCCAUUGGUCCUAGGUUUGGCGCCAUAUGUAAAUUCCCAGGGGCGGGAAGAUGGCGUCACAGGUAACUUCCUAGGGGCCGGGCAAGAUGGGGCUUCCUGCUUCCGGUUGUGGCUUUCCUGGCUACAGUGUCCUGUCUGGGCCAAACCUUUUACUUAGUUUUUUUACAGUUUCUCCCCUUUCACUCCCACAGGGUGCACUGCACAUUUUGGGUCCCACCAACUCCCUUAGUUUUUAGAUUAGGGGGCAACUUGUUAUUUACUUAAGUGGUUCUGAACCUUCUCACUCCUAGACUUGAUCUCAAGUUUUAUUCCUUUACAUACAAAAGUCUCAAGGUUUUCCUUCGUUAUAGCUGAGCAGUUCUCUACUGCACAAAAGUAUCUUAUCUUUCCAACCUAUCUGCAGAUGCUGGUCGAGUUGCCCCUAUUUGUUAAUCAAUAGUUUCUGUCAGGAAACUUUUCCAGCUUUUGGUGGAGUUUUUAAUUUCCUGGUAAUCUCUUUGAAUGUUUCAUGUAUUCUAGGUUUUCUUUAUAUUCUUCAUCAAACAUUUCUCUCCUUUUUUUGUGUGUUCUUCCAUUCUUCCAUCUGUGUGUUCUUCAGAUGUGCUUAGCAUUUCUUUUGUUAAUCUUCUCAUAUCUUGCUUUACUUGAAUUAAUAUUUCAGUUUUGAGCUUGUCUAUGAUGUCAUGAAGAUAUCUCUUUAUGUCAGCUGAUGCAAUGUCUGAUAUUGCAUGUUUAUUGCCCUCAGUCUCUUCUGUAUUUACCUCUCCUGGAUCAGUAUUUGCUGGGUUGGGAGCUGAGGGCUUUUUCUUAUUUCUUUCUCUUGUCAUGUUUUUGGUUUCUUCUAUAUAGGUAUAUAGUGGAGGUCUCAGCCCCUUUCCUUGUUGGUUAUGGUUCUUCUGAAGCAUGCUGGGUAGAGAUUUCUGCCCUCUCCAGUUUGCUGUUGGUCAUUGAGGUCUAAGCCAGAAUGGUGUAUGCUGGCCCCUCCCCUCCGAGUCAGUCAACCAGCAGGGUCUUCACCAUGCUAGUGUGUGCUGUGUCCAGAACCAAUUGGGGACAACUUUGGGGACAGUUUCAUCCCUUGCUGUUGAGUCCUGGCCAGGGACGUGACCCAGCCCAAAAAGAUCCCACUAAUCUGCUCUGGGCAGGGAGCAACCAACUGAAGUCACUGCUGUUCCUUGUUCAUGCCCAUCCUGUCCAAUUCCAAUAUAUUGGCCAGUGGUCACCCUUUUCCCAUGGGAGGGUCUUAGUCCAAGCACUCACCAUGGGAUAGUGCAGGUCUCCAUGCUGGCUCUGUUCUCCAUUGGGCUCACCAACCCCCAACUUCAGCACGACUGCGGCUCCAGUGGUGAGUGUGCCACACCACAAGUCUGGGCAGCUCCUGCAAGAGCGCCUGUAGCUAUGAAUCUGAAGUGAUUCCAAUUGUAGCAUGCCACGACUGUGAGUUUAACUAGCUCCUUUCCCUUUAGUUCCUUCCUGGGUCGAGAGGAUCCAUCUCCUUCUUUCUGGUCUUUUCUAGGAUGUUUUAUUCCUGCAUCUGAGCUGUUUCUCUCAGGAAGGCUCUGGAUUUUGCUGCUUACUGAUGCGCCAUCUUUAGCUGUGCCCCUAUGAAUAGCUAUUUUCAAGGAUGAAGCAUGCAAAAAGCUUAGACAGGAGGAUCUUGACUUCAAGACCAGCCUGGGCAAUAUAGUGAUGUCUCAAAAAAGGAAAAGUUGCAGCUUUGGCAGCUUCCCCAAAGAUGUGAUAUUUAAAUUGAGACCUGCAGGAUGAGACUCAUCCAGAAACAUCGGAGGAAAAAGCUCCAGGCAACCUGGGGACAAGACCAGGAAAAAGCACCUGGCAGCUUCAAACAACCGAAAUUGUGCAAGCUGGAAUGAUGGGGACAUUAAAGGAUUUGUAACAGGUAUGUAGAUCAGUCAGCAGGGCCUGAGAUUGUGCUCAGGCCUUGGAAUUUCGUAAAAGCAGAGUGGAGCCGCUGAGUGCCGUUAAGCACAGGACUGUCAUAUCUGGUUUAUGUAUUUUUCACAAUCACGGGGGGCAGAAGAGACAAAGGACUGCAGAAGAGAGUGUAAGAAGGAAGCUGAGUUUAAGGAGACUCCUGCAGCAGCACAGUGAAAAGCUCAUCUUGGCUUUUGGAAAUCUGUGGAAGUCUGGCCCGGAGGAAACAAUUUUGAAACCAUCAGAGUAGAGUGGUAACUGAAGCAGAUACCUGGAUGAGGCCGUUUCCUAAAGAACUUUUCUCAUAGUUUUACCUUUGCCUUGUUAGUAGCUGCGAGGGGUACUGUGAUAAGUCAUUUUCAGGAGAAAAGCUGUUUUAAAAUAGUCUGGCAAAAACCACAUCUGCGGCUUAAUCGGAAUCCCAAGCAGAAAUGUGGCCACCCCGUGUCUGCAGGCUGACCCAGGCUCGCCGCCGAGGUGGGUGCAGUGCACGACAGGAGCGUCGCCCCUUUGCCCGCUCUUUUCCCUGGGCCUCUCCGCGGCCCCAUUGCUGUGCAGAGCAGAGGCCGGGCGGGCACUGUCCGCAUUCCACCCGGGCCCCACGCCGUCCAUAGGACCCUUACGCAGGUCCCGGGAACUCUCCGCCCGGGAGGAUCUGCUCUUCCAGGCCCUGCUCCGCCAGCAGGCCUCACCUGCUACCCUGCAGGCCCAGCCUCCUGGGCGGCCAGGAGGCUGGGCAAGGCCCGUGGGUGGGGGCACCAUGGGCGGGGCCAGCCUGAGAACCUGGGAACCCAGCUUCUCGGUUGGGUUUUGUUUUGUUGACCGCGGUUGCUACAAGUUUGUAGCUUGGUCUCGAACUCGCAGUACAUCUGCCUUAGACCUGAAAGCAGCUGUAUUGUGGACGUGAGACCGCGUUCCUGUGAGCUGAGCUUCUGAAGGUCAGCGGGCCCUGUGACUUCGUGGGUGGCAGCAGCGUGGGAUGUCGCCUGGCCUGGGUGGACUGGGGUGGGACUCCCACGUGAAGUCGAAGGUAUCUUCAAGAAGUGAGCCGUUGCAGAGCACCAGGGCGCACGCCUGUGGUCCCCACUAUUUGGAAGACUUAACUAAACAGUUUUUAGAACUAACAACAGCUACAGUUCUUGAAAUCCUCAAGCCAGGGAAGAAGCAGGGCAGAACAAUCUGCAAGUACAACCCCAAGUUACUUAAGUGUGCCAUUAUUGGUUACAGCAAUCACAGAACACAAAUACACCUGAUGUUACAGGGCUUGAGGGGAAAGCACAAGAGGAUGUGGGCUUCAGUUCAGUGGUAUAGUGUUUGUUGAGCGCAUUCAAGGUCCUGAAUUCAACGUUCGGUGCCAGAAGGAAUAAAAAGCUUCUAUCGGUACAGUCGUUUUUACUAAGAGAGUCUUGGAGCUAUCACAGGCUGAGCUUUAGACCUUUUUAGUCCUCUACAUGAAUCCCAUUGUUAUUUUGUUAGUUCCUUUUCUUUUUUAAGCACUUUUUUCAUUAGUCAUCCUGGCACUAGUUUUUAGGAAGGUAAUGUUUGUUUUUGUGACACAUGCAGUGAUUAUACGGACAUAAAAUUAUGCUGAAUUUGUUGACACCUGUGGUUUGAGAUACCUCAUGCCCCAGAGUGUGCUCCUCAGUAACCCUGAGCCAGAGCACAAAACAGAACGAUCCUCGAGCCCUGCAAGUUCCCACAUCAGGGCACAUGAUGAUUAGAGCGCUUGCAUCAAAUGCAGGUUUAUCCUCAGAGAUACAAGCAAAGUGGAAGGGACCAACCAUGGUAUAAUCCAUAGUGUAGUUCACCUAGGUAAAAAAGUGAGUAAAAUAUUUUUUAAAAAUUAAAGAAUUGCCCCUAAAGAGUUCCUCUAAAGUUCUGUAGGAAAUCUGUCUUUCAAGGUGCCCACUACCAAUAAGAAAUCUGACUUUCCAUCCCAGGAAUUGUUCUGUCCUUAAUAUCAUCAAACCUGCUCUGUUGAGACCAUACUUGUUCCUAAAAUAUACAGUUAUUUCCUACCAUGUGUUAUUCCUACAAGGUCCUAAAUAAUUAAUGUCAUUUAGAAAAAAAAUGCCUAGAAAAAACUAAAUGAUUUUCAGAAAGCUACUUUAGCUGGACCUAUAGAAAGCAUGACAGAGGGGCCAGGGGUUUAACUCAGUGGCAUAAGCACCUGCCUGGCAAGUGCGAGGUCCUUAGUUCAAUCCCCAGUAGCCUGAGACAAGGUUAAGUGAUGCCUUUACAGUCCCUGAGGAAAGGCAAGGAGGACAGCUACAUCUUCAGGUGGGUGCAGGAAGGCUUCCACACCUGGAAGACAGAUAGGUAAAUGUUACUUGUUGGCUGGAUAUAAUGCCUCCUCCACCCUCCAAAUCCUGUAGCUGAGGCAGACCUCUGAAACAAAAUGCAGAUCAACAAGAUAAAAAAAAUUAUUAACACAUGCAAUCAUGCAGAAGAUGGAAAGUAAGACAAAGAGAGCACUGACUUAGACCCUAGUUUGUGUAUCAUUUUUAAUCACCUUUUUUUUUUUUUUUUUUUUUGGUGGUGGUGGUAUUGGGAUUGAACUCAGAGCUAGGUUUGAACUUGUAAUCUUCCUCCUUCAGCCUCCCAGAGUGCUGGGAUUACAGGUGUGUUCUAGUACCCCUGGCUUCAUUGUGGUUUUUAUGGCAAUCCUCAAUAGUUAAUGCUAUUAUACAUCUUUUCAUGUGAUUAUGGCCAUUAGUGUCUCUUCUUUGGAGAAAUGUCUGUUCAGUUUUCUUGUCCACAUUUAAAUUGGGUUAAUUAUUUGUUACUCAGUGGUAAGGUCCUUUGUAUAUUGGAAUAGGCACUUUAGGCAUAUACCCAUUGAACCUUUUUGUGAAUGUCAUGGGUGGUUGAGUGUGGAAUGGCAGUGGAGACUUGAACAGCUGUAUAUUUGCAUUAAAACAGGCUUCUUUAAAAAAAAAAAAACAGGCUUCUUCCAUGUGACCCUCCACUUACCUUUAAAAGAUGAUGCACAUGUGACUUGUUAACUCAUAUUACAACUCUGAAUACUGCUUUAAAUAUUCCUAGGGCAGGGAUGUGUUGUGCACUAGCUAAAAGAGCAUCGUCAUCCUGUUCUGUGCUUGCAAUUACCCUAGUUAUUUACCCUAAUUACCCUGUAACUCCCUUUGCAGACAAAGCUGUUUUCCGAGGCUGACCACCCUGGAGCACUGACCACACUGUUGUAAAUUAACCACUAUACUGUUCUGUAUGCAUCGUCACCCCGGGUAACCUGUUCCCCCUUUGUAAAGUGUUGGGCGCAGGCGCUCAACAUACCAUACCCCACCCGGGACUAAGGACCACGCCAGCUUCCGCAAUGCGCUAUGUCCCUCUUUAAAUUAGCCAACCCGUGCGCACCCCGCGCUCCACUCCGUACUCUGUGGCAACUCCUGAUUGGCCACAGCUGGAUAUGGUAGCCCGAGCCUGCAUCCCAUUCCCACCCUGCUUCCUUGUGGCAGCCUGUGAUUGGUCAUGGCCAAAUAUAUAAACCAGAGCCCGCGUAAAUAAACUAGCAGUUAACUGUCGUCCACAAAAGCGUCUCCUGUCUCCUGUUUCAUUGGAGCUGCGCCGGUCAGUAAGGGACAGAUGUUGUCUGAAAUUAGAUGGCCACAAGCUGCCCACACCCUGUCUUAACCCUUGUUCCCAUAACAAAAAGCAAAUAUUCCUGAAAUUAGUUGACCAAGAGCUGUAAAUUCCUGUAAAGAAGGAACCAGCUGACUACCUACUGUGAAAUUUACCGUAAAAACCCUGUCCUCAAGCAAAGGGGAACAAAGGUCUUUCUCAUUUUAUCCCCCCUCCCAUCUUUUGCAGUUUUCUCCUAUAGCCUGACAAAAUUUUAACCUGGUUACACAACUUUGCAAACUCCAACAGCACUGUGUUGGUGGUACCAGCUUAAAUAAAGUGCUCCUUUUUCUUUUAUAAGAGGUCUCACCCUGUUUUUUGGACAACAUGUUUGGGUCUCAUUUUUGGGGUACAGCAGGAUGAAGUAUGCUUUGUCUUCUAGUUGAAUGUGUGUUAAAGGCUGAAGAGACCAACUUGGGAGGUUUAUGCUCUGUGGGAAGCCCUGUAAUUGGCUGCCACCUUAACAUCUUCAGGCUACACCACCUUAAUGCCCUUUAGGAGUUAGGUUUGGUAAUUAAGCAGCAUCUUGCAUAACUUGUUUAGCCUGUCCCUUUAUUCAGGGACUAUGCAUAUUGAGCCCGCUUUCGGGAGAUUCAAACUGACCUAUGAAUCUCCGUCUUGCCACUGUUGCUAAGUUACCUGCUGAUGUCUCAGCACCCAAAAUCCCUCCUCCCAAUAUCCUAUAUAUUUGCUACUCCUUCCAUGAAUAAAUGAGACUUGAUUGGAAUCCUUCAUCUUGUCUCCCCUCUUUGUAUCUCUUGUUCCCUUUUUCAUCCCCACUCCCCCUCUAGGGUCUCCGUGGAUUUACCCAUGGGCUGGGUCAAUGUUCUGCCUCCUGAAUGUGGCUGAAUCUGGGCCUUUGAUUGUGGGAGCAGAGAACAAAUGUGUUUGAUCUUGGGAGAACAGAGGGUUACUGGAAGGCUUCAGGAGACCCGGCACUACAUUGAAUUCUGAUGUCAGGAUUUGAAGGACCACAUGGCAUAUAUGAGGAUCAUGUUGGUUGCCUGCAGAAGCACUUCACUGUCAUUACCAUGAAAGAAUUUUUGGAAAAUAAAAUUCAAUCUAAAGAUUCAA